UACGGAGGGUGCAAGCGUUGCUCGGAAUUACUGGGCGUAAAGCGUGUGUAGGCGGCUCUAUAAGUCGGGUGUGAAAUCCCUGGGCUUAACCCAGGAACUGCGCCCGAAACUGUGGAGCUUGAGUGCCGGAGAGGGUGGUAGAAUUCCCAGUGUAGAGGUGAAAUUCGUAGAUAUUGGGAGGAAUACCAGUGGCGAAGGCGGCCACCUGGACGGACACUGACGCUGAGACACGAAAGCGUGGGGAGCAAACAGG
rnacentral:rRNA from 1 species